UACGUAGGCAGCGAGCGUUUGUUCGGAAUUACUGGGCGUAAAGAGUGUGUAGGCGGUGUUCCAAGUCUGGUGUGAAAUCUCCCGCUCAACUGGGAGGUGCGCCGGAAACUGGGAUGCUAGAGGAUGGGAGAGGUAAGCGGAAUUCCUGGUGUAGCGGUGAAAUGCGCAGAUAUCAGGAAGAACACCCGUGGCUAAGGCGGCUCUCUAGUACGGUACUGAGCUAGACGCGAAAGCGUG
rnacentral:rRNA from 1 species